rnacentral:rRNA from 1 species
GAUGAACGCUAGCUACAGGCUUAACACAUGCAAGUCGCGGGGCAGCAUGGGGGUUGCUUGCAAUCCCCGAUGGCGACCGGCGCACGGGUGAGUAACGCGUAUCCAACCUGCCCUUCACCACGGGAUAACCCGGCGAAAGUCGGACUAAUACCGUAUGUUGUCCAUUGACGGCCUCCGAUUUGGACGAAAGGCUGGGCGGUGAGGGAUGGGGAUGCGUCCGAUUAGCCAGACGGCGGGGUAACGGCCCACCGUGGCUACGAUCGGUAGGGGUUCUGAGAGGAAGGUCCCCCACACUGGGACUGAGACACGGUCCAGACUCCUACGGGAGGCAGCAGUGAGGAAUAUUGGUCAAUGGGCGUAAGCCUGAACCAGCCAAGUAGCGUGCAGGAUGACGGCCCUAUGGGUUGUAAACUGCUUUUAUGCGGGGAUAAAGUGGCCCACGUGUGGGCUUUUGCAGGUACCGCAUGAAUAAGGACCGGCUAAUUCCGUG